UUGCUAAGGUAGCGCAAUCAAUUGGCUCUUAAUUGGGGUCAGGUAUGAAUGGAGUAACGGAGUUCAGCUGUCUCAAGAUUAAUAGUUUGAAGUUACUAUUUAGGUGAAAAAGCCUAAAAUUAGAAAAGGGACGAGAAGACCCUUAGAGUUUUACUUCAAAAUAUAAGUUAGGUAUUUUUAAUGGUUUAGUUGGGGCAACAUAGGAGCAUAAUCUCCUUACAAUUAACCGAUUAUUUUAAAUUUGGAUAAACUACCUUAGGGAUAACAGCAUAAUUUAUUAAAUAAGUUUGUGACCUCGAUGUUGGACUAGGAAA
rnacentral:rRNA from 1 species